GCUUUAUACAAACUACAGCUCAGUUGGUAGAGCCUGAGACUCAUGAGACUCUUUAUCUCAUGUCAUGGGUUCAAAUUCCAAGUUGGGCA